rnacentral:rRNA from 1 species
UACGUAGGGUGCGAGCGUUAAUCGGAAUUACUGGGCGUAAAGGGUUUGUAGGUGGUCUGCUAAGUCAGACGUGAAAUCCCUCAGCUUAACUGGGGAACUGCGUCUGAUACUGGCGGACUUGAGGACAGGAGAGGAACGCGGAAUUCCAGGUGUAGCGGUGAAAUGCGUAGAUAUCUGGAGGAACACCGGUGGCGAAGGCGGCGUUCUGGACUGUUUCUGACACUGAAAAACGAAAGCCAGGGGAGCAAACGGG